GAUGAACGCUGGCGGCGUGCCUAAUACAUGCAAGUCGUGCGAUGAGGCCCUUCGGGGCACAUCAGCGGCGAACGGGUGAGUAACACGUGGGUGACCUGCCCCGAAGAGGGGGAUAACCCUGGGAAACUGGGGCUAAUACCCCAUGUGCUGGACGAUUCGGUUCGUCCAGUAAAGCCGCAAGGCGCUUCGGGAGGGGCCCGCGGCCCAUCAGCUAGUUGGUAGGGUAAUGGCCUACCAAGGCGAAGACGGGUAGGGGGCGUGAGAGCGCGGCCCCCCACACUGGCACUGAGACAUGGGCCAGACUCCUACGGGAGGCAGCAGUAAGGAAUAUUGCCCAAUGGGCGAAAGCCUGAGGCAGCGACGCCGCGUGGGCGAUGAAGGCCUUCGGGUCGUAAAGCCCUUUUCUGGGGGAAGAGCAAGGACGGUACCCCAGGAAUAAGCGCCGGCGAACUACGUGCCAACAGCCGCGGUAAAACGUAGGGCGCGAGCGUUAUCCGGAUUCACUGGGCGUAAAGCGCGUUGAGGCGGCUCCGUAAGUUGGGCGUGAAAGCCCCGGGCUCAACCCGGGGAGGUCGUCCAAUACUGCGGGGCUUGAGGCAGCAGAGGGAGGUGGAAUUCCCGGUGUAGUGGUGAAAUGCGUAGAUAUCGGGAGGAACACCCGUGGCGAAGCGGCCUCCUGAGCUGCUCCUGACGCUGAAGCGAAAGCCAGGGAGCGAACGGGAUUAGAUACCCCGGUCCCCGGUAGUCCUGGCCGUAAACGUUGGAUGCUAGGUGCGGGAGGAGAUCUUUCCUUCCGUGCCGAAGCUCACGCGUUAAGCAUCCCGCCUGGGGACUACGGCCGCAAAGGCUAAAACUCAAACGAAUUGGCGGGGGCCCGCACAAGCAGCGGAGCGUGUGGUUUAAUUCGAUGCUACACGAAGAACCUUACCUGGGUUUGACAUGCAGGUGGUAGGGAUCCGAAAGGUGACCGACCCGCAAGGGAGCCUGCACAGGUGCUGCAUGGCUGUCGUCAGCUCGUGCCGUGAGGUGUCGGGUUAAGUCCCGGAACGAGCGCAACCCCUGCCCCUAGUUACAUGUGUCUAGGGGGACUGCCCGGGACAACUGGGAGGAAGGUGGGGACGACGUCAAGUCAGCAUGGCCUUUAUGCCCAGGGCUACACACACGCUACAAUGGCCGGGACAAUGGGUUGCCAAGCCGUGAGGCGGAGCCAAUCCCCCAAACCCGGUCUCAGUUCGGAUUGCAGGCUGCAACUCGCCUGCAUGAAGCUGGAGUUGCUAGUAACCGCAGGUCAGCCAUACUGCGGUGAAUACGUUCCCGGGCCUUGCACACACCGCCCGUCACGUCAUGGGAGCUGGCAACGCCUAAAGCCGGUGGGCCAACCCGAAAGGGAGGCAGCCGUCGAAGGCGGGGCUGGUGACUGGGACG
rnacentral:rRNA from 1 species